CACCGAACAGAGGAGGGAAGCACCACACACUGACAGAGCAGCCUGCAGGGACUAUUUUUCACCUCGGCAGGACACUGCUUUAGGAAUGAAGAGGAAAGUUAAAAAAAAAAAAAACAAACCAAACCAAAACACAGGCAUCCCAAAGAGUGCAGGCCUGAGUCAGCACAUAGAUGAAGCAUGCAAAGUUUCCAGAUGAGGGAGGAGAAUCAGAAAAGGCUGCAGUGAGUGUCUGAGCUGACAGAGGUGAAUUAUUUAUUCUCAUGUUCUGCUGUGGCAGUUAACAGAGAAGUGCAGCGGCGUAUUGUGGAGGGACGGCGGAGAGAGACGCCGUGUCGUUUGCACCAUUUCCCCUCUUUUUUUUUCCUGAUUGAAUAGAUACGAGAGGUGUGAUGACUGUUAGCAGGUUGCCAGCCAGCGUGUUAGUGUGAAUAAUGACAUCUCCCGUUUAUCUGAGAUAUCCACUGUUUGAAAAAAAGACUGACAGCAUAAAAUUAAAAAGAAAUACUUUUUGUAAAGGACAGCCGCCAGCUGGAGGCUCUGAUUGACGAGCCAGUGCUGUUUCUCCAAACUGCAGCCAAGUGAUUUGGAAAAGGCUCAUAAACAGUUAAAAGACGGACACAGCGACAGACACGUGCGUCAGUGAGUACGACCUGAUGUAAGUUCCUUACACGGGCCGCGGUCUGCAGCACAGCGAACGCUGCAGGAGACAGCGAAUGCAACACGGGUCGUAAAAUCCCGCAGAGACUUCGGCGUCUGUGCUCGUCAGCGUGGCGUUCCUACAGCCUGUUGGCUGCAGCUGUACGCAGUGACCACUUGGGUUUGCCAAGUGAAAAGAGAUCCUCCUGCUGCUCUCAGAUCAGCCCAGAUCCAGGUUCAUCUCCAGCUGAAGGAGUCGGCUCCAGGCGUUGGCCCGUUCUGCCCUGAGCUGUGUGCUGGUGCUGACUCAUCUCUACCAGGUAAUUUUCUAUCAUUUACCGUCUCUAUAAGUAAACAUCAAGGCUGAGGAUCGUUUAAAGGUUU
rnacentral:lncRNA from 1 species